rnacentral:rRNA from 1 species
GCGAUGAGCAGGAGGAAGGUGGGGAUGACGUCAAGUCAUCAUGCCCCUUAUACGCUGGGCUACACACGUGCUACAAUGGGCAGUACAGAGAGUUGCCAACCCGCGAGGGUGAGCUAAUCUCUUAAAGCUGUUCUUAGUUCGGAUUGUACUCUGCAACUCGAGUACAUGAAGUUGGAAUCGCUAGUAAUCGCAAAUCAGCAUGUUGCGGUGAAUACGUUCUCGGGUCUUGUACACACCGCCCGUCACACCACGAGAGUUGGUUGCACCUGAAGUAGCAGGCCUAACCGUAAGGAGGGAUGUUCCUAAGGUGUGAUUAGCGAUUGGGGUG